GGAGGGGUGGCAGAGUGGUCGAAUGCACCGGUCUUGAAAACCGGAGGGCCCCGUUGAGGGGUCCCGUGGGUUCGAAUCCCACCCCCUCCG
rnacentral:tRNA from 1 species